UAGUGAGUUUUGAUCCCUGGCUCAGGAUGAACGCUGGCGGUCUGCUUAACACAUGCAAGUCGAACGCAAGUAGAAAUACGUUGACGUGGCGGACGGGUGAGUAACGCGUGAGAAUCUGCCUUCUGGUCGGGGACAACCACUGGAAACGGUGGCUAAUACCGGAUAUGCCUAUGGGUGAAAGAUUAAUUGCCAGAAGAAGAGCUCGCGUCUGAUUAGCUAGUUGGAGAGGUAAAGGCUCACCAAGGCAUCGAUCAGUAGCUGGUCUG
rnacentral:rRNA from 1 species